UGCCAGACUCCUACGGGAGGCAGCAGUAGGGAAUCUUUCACAAUGGGCGAAAGCCUGAUGGAGCAACGCCGCGUGAAGGAAGAAGGCUUUCGGGUUGUAAACUUCUUUUAAGAGGGAAGAGAAGAAGACGGUACCUCUUGAAUAAGCCACGGCUAACUACGUGCCAGCAGCCGCGGUAAUACGUAGGUGGCAAGCGUUGUCCGGAUUUACUGGGUGUAAAGGGCGUGUAGCCGGGCUGACAAGUCAGAUGUGAAAUUCCGGGGCUCAACCCCGGACCUGCAUUUGAAACUGUUGGUCUUGAGUAUCGGAGAGGCAGGCGGAAUUCCUAGUGUAGCGGUGAAAUGCGUAGAUAUUAGGAGGAACACCAGUGGCGAAGGCGGCCUGCUGGACGACAACUGACGGUGAGGCGCGAAAGCGUGGGGAGCAAACAGGAUUAGAUACCCGAGUA
rnacentral:rRNA from 1 species